rnacentral:lncRNA from 1 species
UUCGGAGUGCCAGGAAUAAGAGAUCAGUAACACAUGCUACAUUUCUCAUUUCCCCUAAUAUCUUUAUGUUUAUAACAUUUUCAUCAACGAAUUUAUUUUUAACAUGAUGAGAGAAUGAAACACCAUGAAAACGGGAAGUCGUUUAGUUGGUGUUUAAAAGCAAUGUUAGAUGCUUGCUGCACAAAGCUUCAUUUGCUUCUACCUUAAGGCAAAGACUUGUUGAUUCUGCAGAACACCUUUAUGAGGCAAUAACUACUUAAAAAUACAUUGAUACCAUCUUGAAUUAUGGUUUUUGUUGUUCUUGUAAUAAAUUGUAGUGUUGAGGGUCUAUUGAAAACAACCUCUUUACCCCAGCAGAGAGGUGAGGUAACUAGGUAAGGUCUACGUAUAUCCAUCCUUUCGGAAUCCACUUGUGGAACUAUACUGAGUAUGUUGUUGUUCUUCCUAUAAUAAAUUGUAGUGUUGAGAGUAUAUCAAAAAACAACCUCUUUACCUCGGUUGAGGUAAGGUAACUAGCUAAGGUCUGCGUGCAUCCACAUUUUCUGACUCCAAUUAUGGAACUACACUGAGUAUGUUGUUGUUGUUCUUGUAAUAAAUUGUUGUGUUGAGGGUCUAUAGAAAACAACCUCUUUUCCCUGUUUCUUCAACCACUUGUUUAGAUGUUCCAACAGCGGUUAUCUUGAGAAGCUCAAGUGGACAGUCAGCUCGAUUCUCAAGAGCUUGCAUGAGGACUGUCCAGUGAGAUCCAAUCUCACUUCUAAUUCCAAAAUUAAUCAAAUACCUGGGUUCCAGAAUUGCUCAUUUUUCCACACAUACAAUGCUCUUUUCCAUACAUACUUUAUCUUUUUACCUCUUUUCCAAAUUGUAUUCUCGGAUUUGUUGUUUACUUAUACAAUUAAAGUCAUUAUGAAAGAGGUCGUGACAUGUCUCUGAUGAGUUGGCCUCCAUUUCUAGUACACUAGUAUUGAACUAGGAUGAUAAAUCUUGGUCUAAAGUUUAGACAUGAACUGUGAUAAGGGAAUUCCUUGCUUCCAGGGUCACAUGAACAUGCAAAAUCUUCAGUGGUAUGAGGAGCAUUUAAGUAGCGUCAUGCAUGAUAAAUCUUCUUGGCACCGACUUAUCUUGUCUUCUACAUUCUUGGCCAAUAUAGCUUUAGUUCUUCACUUUUUCUUUUCCAUUAUUUUGAUGUUCAUCCAUUAUAUCUGUUGUGUUGCAUAGUUUGCUUAUGUUUAUUAAACUUGUUAAAAUUUUUGUGCAAGUUUCUUGGGCUGCUCGUUUCAUGUGGUUGGCAAUGUUCAUAUUUUAGCUUUGCAUGAAUCAUAAUUUUGGUGAUUUCCUUGUGUUAUGUAGGAUUUUAAUGUAUAGUGAAGAUAAAAGUUGGAUGAAUUGUUUAAUAUGGUCUGAUGAGUUCGAGCGUGGACUGAUGAGUUCGAGCGUGGAGUGAAAUAUUUUCUUGAAAAGGCAUUUGAAUUAGCUCCUCAAGAAAAUGAGAUAUUAUGUCCUUAUAGAGAUUGCAAGAAUCAGUAUUGGUAUUAUAGAGAUGUGGUGGAGGAUCACUUGCUUUCUAG